UCACAGUCGAAUGAGAGGAGAAUAAUCGAUUAUAAUUGGUCAAUUUUUACAGAUUACGGCAUAAGUUAACAGUUUACGGCCAGUAUAAAUCAACCUUUAAGGUUGGAUUAUACUGGCCGUAAUCUGUUAACUUAUGCUGUAAUCUGUAAAAAUUGACCAAUUAUAAUCGAUUAUUCUCCUCUCAUUCGACUGUGA
rnacentral:pre_miRNA from 1 species